rnacentral:lncRNA from 1 species
GUGGAUCAAGAAAAUAUGGUACAUAUACACAAUGGAAUAUUACUCAGCCAUUAAAAGGAAAGAAAUAACAGCAUCUGAAGCAACACGGAUGGACCUAGAAAUGAUCACGCUACGUGAAGUUAAUCAGACAGUGAGACACCAACAUCAUAUGCUAUUGCUUACAUGUGAAAUCUAAAAAAAGGACACAAUGAAUUUCUUUGCAGAACAGAUACUGACCCACAGACUUUGAAAAACUUACAGUUUCCAAAGGAGACAGGCUAGGGGUGGGGGGAUGGGCUGGGGGUUUGGGAUGGAAAUGCUAUAAAAUUGGGUUAUGAUGAUUGUUGUAGAACUGCAAACGUUAUAAAAUUAAGAGUAUGGAAAAAAAAGGAAAAAGAAAAAAGAAAAGGAGGUAAAUGUCUAAUUUGGUUCACCUCAGUGGAGAUUUGACUUUUAAUAAAGGGCUGCUAUUCAGCCUCAUUCACUGUUGUGUUAAACUGAUCAGUGCCUCUUCUAAUUGGUCAGUAACCGCAAUGUCACAGUUGCUUCUAAGUUUAAAUUACCUGAGCACUGGGAGAAUCUAACAUAUUACCAAAGGAAAUACCAUGCUAUCACCCCACGCCCAUCACCUCGGUGAGAAUCUGAAGUAGAGCCAGUAGGACAUUGUAGUGAUUAAUAUUUCUAAUAAUGAUAAACACCAGAAGCAUCAUUAUUAAAUAACCAACAUGUGCAUAUCCAACAUCAAAGUUUCCAUAUCCUUCAUUUUGCUUGGGAGAAGCCAAACUUUUGGGGGAGAAAAAAAAAAAGAAAAGAAAGAAAAAAUUAAUUACAGCUCUAGAAAGGUGAGCAAAACUGGGGCAAAAUAUACAGACACUUUCCUCCAUCCACCCACUUUCAUCAUAAAUGUCUGCAUAGACAAUGGCUGUACCAGCUGUCAAGUAGCUGUGACCAAAUCACAUCCUCUCAUCUCUGGAUCCUUUGCUCCUUCUUUUGUUCCAAACCAUCCUUCAUUUGCAAAGGACUGUUAAAUGGCCAACAGUCCUGUGUAUACCCACCUGGGCAAAGACUAUACCCACUAGUAGUUAGCUUUGACUUGUAUAAACAUGGUUCUGGAAGAUUAUCCUGACAUAUAUAUGAGAUUUGCUUCCUUGGACCACCUACAUUCAAAUCCAUAUGAUAACUGGCUACAUUAUAACAAUGUUCUUAGGAAUAUCUCUCAUUGCAAAUUUGUCAGACAUCAAGCAUCACUGAGUUAUUUUUCUUCAUCACUCCUUGACAUCUUUCAUGAGGGCAUGCGUUUCCAAGAAGCAUUCAGAGUCCUCUUAUGACUCAUGACAUUCCAGUUCAGUUAAGUAGGAAAUAAAAUGCUGUAAACAAUAAUUGCCUGGAGGCUG